AUCAGAGUUCAGCACUGUUAGUGGUGGGAGCUGAGUUUCAGGUUCCAGCUUCCCAGAAUGCCUUAAACUUAACCCACUAAAGGAGUGGAUUCCCUAUUUACAAGGCUCCUGAUGUGGGAAACAAAGGCAGAAGAGCAUUUAUUAAAUUUCCUUACCACCUACAACCCAUUGACAAGUCCUUUAAAAUAGGCAGAGUGACCUUCCUCUAUGAACUCAACUGCCUUGAUGUUGACACUUCAUGAAGAGCAAAAGGCGAUCUUAGCAGGAACCCCAGGACCCUCCUCCUUGUGUCAGAGCUCAGAGCUGAGUAUGGUCCUGUGGAGAACAGAGAUGAGCACAUGCGGUCCUGAAAAGCCCAGGAAACCAGGAGGCUCCUCUGAGAGAGUCUUCCUCCCUAGCUCCUGUUCAGUGUGACUCUUCUAACCACUUCCUGUUCGAUGCUGCCUAUUUGAUCAGAUAAACAUCAUAUCCAGUAGAAACUUUCUCAUAGACACAGGUCCAAAGUCAGCCUUUUGGAAGCCAGUGAACUUGUGGACAGAUGACGAGGAGUCAUCUCCAGAUAGUCGAUGUUCGAUGCACGUUAGUCACACAGUCUUACUUGCAUCUCUGACCUUCUUCUAUGUACCUCUGGUACUGAAAUGAACCACUGCUAUCUAUCCUCUGACACAAUACUAAGAGAGGAGAACCAGAUUUCAGUGAGGACUUUCCCUCCUGCUUUGUCAGAGAACUAUCAGCGAGGCAGAAUUUAAGAUCAAACAACAACUCCAUUGUAUGGCUUUUCUCCAGAAGAAAUCAGAAGCAAGGUCCCAGGGUAAUUGGCAAAGUAAGU